UCCCCACGUGGAGGGAGUCACGCGCCCGCAGCACACGUGACCGGGCGGCACGGCGGCAUGGCGCGGGGGUGUCGGGGGAUCCCCGCCGUGCUGGCGCUGUGUGCGGCCGCCUGGAGCUGCGCCGCGGGGCUGCUGCUGGAGCGGGAUCAGCCGUUCCGCGUGCCCCCCGGCUGGGCCCACGCCGGCCGUGUGGAUGCCGGGCAGCCGGUGCAGCUGACCUUCGCCCUGCGGCAGCGCGGCGCUGCCCAGCUCGCCCGCCUGGUCCAGGCCGUCUCGGACCCCCGGUCCCCGCGAUACGGGCAGUACCUGUCCCUGGAGCAGCUCAGGGACUUGGUCCAGCCUUCCCCGGCCACACUGAUGACAGUUCUGAAGUGGCUGCAAGACCACGGUGUAGAGGACUGCCGGAGUGUCACCACCCUUGACUUCCUGGAGUGUUACCUGCCUGCAAGCACGGCCGAGCGCCUGCUCCCCGGGGCCGAGUUCCACCGGUACGUGCAGGGCCAGCGCAGCCUGGUGCGGUCCCCGCUGCCCUACACUGUCCCUGCAGAGCUCGCCGAGCACCUGGACUUCGUGGGUGGGAUGCACCGGUUCCCCACGGAGCGCAAGGCAGGCAGCAGAGCCAGGCCCAGGAAGGACCCGCAGCUGGCACGAGCGUCGUUCCACCUGGGCGUGACCCCGGCCGUCCUGCGCCAGAGAUACAACAUGACGGGGGGGGACGUGGGGCUCCUGCCCAACAACAGCCAGGCCUGUGCACAGUUUCUGGAGCAGUACUUCCACCAAGCUGACCUGGCUGAGUUCAUGCAGCUCUUUGGCAGCGGCUUUGCCCACCGCACGCAGGUGGACCGGGUGGUGGGACAUCAGGGCCAUGGCAAAGCCGGGCUGGAGGCCAGCCUGGACGUGGAGUACAUCAUGAGCACAGGUGCCAAUGUCUCCACCUGGGUCUUCAGCAACGCAGGGCGGCACGAGAGCCAGGAGCCCUUCUUGGCCUGGCUGCUGCUGCUCAGCAACAUGUCAGCGGUGCCCUGGGUGCACUCGGUGAGCUACGGGGACGACGAGGACAGCCUGUCCUCCGCCUACAUGGAGCGCGUCAACACCGAGCUGAUGAAGGCGGCGGCCCGCGGCCUCACCAUCCUGUUUGCCUCAGGUGACGAUGGAGCUGGCUGUCGGCGGGAGCACAGCGGGAACCACACGUUCCGGCCCAGCUUCCCGGCCUCCAGCCCCUACGUCACCACUGUGGGUGGCACGUCCUUCAAGAACCCCUUCCUGGUGACAGAGGAGGUGACAGAUUACAUCAGCGGCGGCGGCUUCAGCAACGUCUUCCCCAUGCCUGAGUACCAGGCCGCUGCUGUCAGGCGUUUCCUGCGCUCAGCCUCGAAGCUGCCGCCCAGCUCCUACUACAACAGCAGCGGCCGCGCCUACCCCGACCUGGCUGCGCUCUCCGACAACUACUGGGUGGUGACAAACCGCAUCCCGCUGCCCUGGGUCUCGGGGACCUCGGCGUCCACGCCGGUGGUGGCAGGCAUGGUGGCACUGAUCAACGACCGGCGCCUGCAGCGGGGGCUGGCACCCCUGGGCUUCCUCAACCCUGCGCUCUACCAGCUGCAGAAGCAAGGGCACGGGGAUGCAUUCUACGAUUGCCGGUGUCCGCGGCCGUGGCCGCCGCCCCGGACGGGGCCAUGUCCAACGGCGUGUACGUGCCGCCCGCCGCCAACGGCGACGUGAAGCCCGUGGUGUCCACCACGCCGCUCGUGGACUUCCUCAUGCAGCUCGAGGACUACACGCCCACGAUCCCGGACGCCGUCACGGGGUAUUACCUGAACCGGGCAGGGUUUGAGGCCUCGGACCCGCGCAUCAUCCGCCUGAUCUCGCUGGCGGCACAGAAGUUCAUCUCAGACAUCGCCAACGACGCCCUGCAGCACUGCAAAAUGAAGGGCACGGCCUCGGGCAGCUCCCGCAGCAAGAGCAAGGACAAGAAGUACACGCUGACCAUGGAGGACCUGACGCCGGCGCUGGCCGAGUACGGCAUCAACGUGAAGAAGCCACAUUACUUCACGUAGAGCACGGGGAGCUUGGGCAGUUUGUAGGGGUUGUGGUGGUGCCAUUAAACACCUCGCAGGGUUUUGUGGGAAGGCA